UACGUAGGGUGCAGGCGUUAAUCGGAAUUACUGGGCGUAAAGCGUGCGCAGGCGGUUUGCUAAGACAGGUGUGAAAUCCCCGGGCUUAACCUGGGAACUGCGCUUGUAACUGGCAAGCUAGAGUGUGGCAGAGGGGGGUGGAAUUCCACGUGUAGCAGUGAAAUGCGUAGAGAUGUGGAGGAACACCGGUGGCGAAGGCAGCCCCCUGGGCUGACACUGACGCUCAUGCACGAAAGCGUGGGGAGCAAACAGG
rnacentral:rRNA from 1 species